GAGCUUCAAUGACAUCUAUAUUUGUCUUGAUAUUUAAUAGAUUGACGAGACCUCCAAAAAUUCUUUCCAUUGUUUUUUACUAUCAUCUCCCAGAUCAUUCCACCACAUGUGGAGCUGUAGAGGGACCUCGCUAAAAACUGCCAAUUUGAUUUGUGCUCAUCCUGCACAUUUAUUAAGGUGAUUAGGCAAAAGAAAAACUUUUAUUCGACUCAAAAGAGAUAAAACUGUUUAUAUGCUAUUUUGUAUGUUUUCAAAUUGGAAAAUAAAAGACUUGAUUUUCAAACACGACCUUUCAGCACUUCAGAAAUGAAGAUUUAAAGGCUGUUUAGUCAGCUAGUUAAAAAUCACAAUUGACCAAAAACGGCCGUUUGCGCAAAUUCAGCCUUCCGGCGUCCUAUUUGGGAACAUUUGACUAUUUUUGACAAAGCGGCCUUACAUGACUUGUGGCAAAAAUUAAAAUUUUGACAUUUUUUGGGCUAUUUUUGUAGAGGGGAGGUUGGACCCGAUGAGGGUUGCCUAUGUAUCUCACGUCCGGUGAGAAUCAAACCAUGCGUAGUUCGGGCAAAUUAACCGAACCAUUUUAAAACAAUACUCUUCUUCAUUUUCAUUUUUGGUAUAAAAAAUAAAGUAAGAACUUCUUUUUAAAACAAGACUCUUUUAAUAAAAUAGCCUAAAAAAAUAAAAAUUCAUUUUCUAUGGUAGAAAAAACUAUUUUUUUUAAUUUUCGAAAACAAGACUAAAAUAAAAGAUUUUUUUUUCCUUUCUCAUUUUUCAUGGCGAAACAAACUAUUUUUCCUUUUCUAUUUUUGAAAACAAAAUAAAAUAAAAAAUUUUCCUUUUCAUUUUCAACAAACAACCUAUUUUCCCAAUUAAACAUAUAGACUCUUAUUUUUAUUUUUAGUAAUACAACCUAUUUUAAAAAUAAAGACUCAUUUUUGUAAUGAUACACCCUAUUUUUCCAUUGGCAAAUAAACUAUUUUGAAGCAAGAAAAACAAAAUCAAGAUUCUUUUUUUUUAAAAUUUUUUUAUGACAAAACAAACUAUUUUUCAUUUUCCAUUUUUGCAAGCAAGACAAACUAAAAAAAUGAUGGACUCUAUUGAAUAAAACAACUAUUUAAAAAUAGGAUAUUUUUAUUUUUUCUUCAAAAUUUCACGAGAAUUCCGACAAUACUUGGGCAGUGGUUUUUUUGAAUUCAUCAGUUAACUCUCCGACUCAUUAUUUUCCUUUUUAUUCUUCUUUUCCCUCAUUUUCUAACCUUCCCGAGAUUCAAAAAGCCGGUCAACAUGCAGGUCGAAACAAAUAAAUGCACAGAAAAUAAGUAGGAUGCGUCAGGAUGAUCUUUUCCAUAUCAGGUUGCUAAUCCUAGACGGACCCAACCCAUGUGUUGAGUCCCCUAAGUCAAAAUGCACAUGAUGCAAAUAAGCGUUCCUACUAGGAAUCCGACAUAAGGCUGAGUUAUUCUAGGUUUAAAACCUGGGUGUUUGUUCUAGACCUGGCUUACCCGAGCGGAAAACUCGAGCUGAGGGGGAGGUGGAAAUCCGGGAAUACAGAAGCUUCACCGGCUUUUCUACUUAUCCAAACCUUGUUCUAAAUUGGGAUUUUGAUACUAGACAGAAAAGAAGUCGUACGCCGUACACCCUUUCCAUUUCAGGUUGCUAAUCCUAGACGGACCCAACCCAUGUGUUGAGUCCCCUAAGUCAAAAUGCACAUGAUGCAAAUAAGCGUUCCUACUAGGAAUCCGACAUAAGGCUGAGUUAUUCUAGGUUUAAAACCUGGGUGUUUGUUCUAGACCUGGCUUACCCGAGCGGAAAACUCGAGCUGAGGGGGAGGUGGAAAUCCGGGAAUACAGAAGCUUCGCCGACUUUUCUACUUAUCCAAACCUUGUUCUAAAUUGGGAUUUUGAUACUAGACAGAAAAGAAGUCGUACGCCGUACACCCUUCUUCACAAUUUAGAAGACUUAGAGAGGAGAUUUGGUUCGGAAAAGUUUAUAUACAGUUCACGUAAUACCAAAGCGGUAAAGCAAUCAAUUAGCACAUUAUGCACAUAUCAUGUAACCAAAUCAGAUAAAGCCAAACACAAUAGUUAUUCUAAGCUCGAAUUCUGAACCCUGAACAAAAUGUUAUGGGUUCUGUUCCCCAUCAGAGUCGCCAGAGCUGUCACACCUCCUUUUUUGCUAUACACCCCUGCAAAUGGAUCGUAAAAGAGUUUUUCCAAUUGAAGGACAAUCAAAACGCGAUUUUAUUAUUAUUUAUUCAAAGUCGCCACUUGGGAGAUUAAUGGUGUCCCAAGUCACCAGUUGAAUUCCGAAUCGAGGAAAGUCGUGACUCUGUAAACAGUGUGCGAACCAGGAUUCUGGACCCUGGAGAAGGUGUUAGGCAUCCCGGGUUCCGUGGUUCUAGCACGAUCGCUCAAUUGCCGCAUUUAACUUUUAUCUGAUUUUAUUACAUGAAGAGCCUGUGCCAGUUUUAUGCUUAACCACUUCUAUUUAAUAGAAAGUGAACGUCAUUUAAAGUGUGUUUUAGAAUUGCGCCGCAUCAAAUGAACCGGCAAUCCUAGUCACACUCUAUUCAACGUUUUAGGAUUUGGAUUUGGGUCGCAUAAAUUGCCCACCCAUAUUUAGGAAAGUAAAAUUAUUAAAAUACGUGCCUAAAAAAGUCUAGCGCUAUCAUUUGAGAGGGUCGUGAAAUUCUCUAAACGGCCAUUCCCGAUUCUCUAAGUAUUUUUAAAACUUUAUUGAGGGCUCCGCAGUUUUGCAUCUUUAUUUGGCGAGGCUCGUCUCAUUAUUUUAAAGAAUGAACCUAAAAGAGACUAUAUUUUCUAUUUUUUGAUUUUUUGUCUCUAAAAGAAAGAAAGAUCCUAAAUAAUUAUAUUAAAAUCCGGGCCUCAAGUUCAUGUCCGGGUCCAAACAAAAGGACGAACCUUUUAGUUUAAAACCCGCUACCUAACUCAAAACCCAAAUUUUAAAUUUAAUUAAAGGAACUUUGGACAUAGUGUCCAAGCUCAGCGUGGAAAGAGUCCCAGGCCCAAUAGAUGGUGGCCUCACACUAGAUCCGUUCAACAUGCCUACAUAAUGGCGUAUGGCCAUCGAAUCCUAAUGAGUACAAGACCCCAAAUUUCAACAGUUCCAAACAUGACUUCAAAUUGCAUAUUGCCAAGCACUAAUUUCAAAUAAUUCAUGAAAACAUGAAUAGACUUUAAUAAUAUUUACUUAAAGGGGCUGCUGGGAUAGUCAUGCAUAUCAAGGAUUCUUUAUGAUUUUAUUUUGGAAAUUGAGUUGCAAUAUGGAUUCAUCCACUUAACUAAUGAUCUGCAGAUCAGAAGCCAUUCUCACACAGUCCAACAACUUGAAAAGUUUAAUAUGUUACCUAAAUGUUUCAAAUGACUACCUUUUCUAUUUUUUUGGAAUCUCACACAGUCCAACAACUUGAAAAGUUUAAUAUGUUACCUUAAUGUUUCAAAUGACUACAAUUACAAUGAAUUCAGUGCAUGCUUGACUUUAAAUCAAUUUCACAUAUGUGUUCAACUCAUGCGCACUUUGAGAAUCUAACAUCUUGUAUUGCCAAUUUUAACAACCAAUCAACCAAUAUGUAUUAUGAUGCAUUCCUACAGACUGAACUUGCAAAUGAAUCAGUAAAAUAGACUAACGUGCAUAUCAAAUUCGUUUAAAUGAGUAAUGUAUAUAAAGAUGAGAUCAUUGCAUUCAAUAGUCCAGUUACAUUCCAUCCUCAAUUCAGUUAUACACUCAUAUGUAAAUUAGGACUAAGUUAAACUAUUGUAUCUAAACUAUUAAACAUCACCCUAUCAGUCCAAGCAGACAAGGAUCGAGAAGUAGAAGAGUAAACAUUUUAUUGCAUUUCCACUCCACAUCAGCACCAAUACAUCAAGGGAGAGGCAAAUACCUGGAAGUUAGGGAGCAAUAAGAAGAGGAAAAGAUCAGCAGCAAUAACAACUAUCCACAACAGCCCAGGAACGAUUUCAGGAAUCCAAUAAUACUUUAAAAACCAAGCAGUAUCAACAAAUCAAUCCAACACACUCAAUAAACCAACACACUCACAUAUGACUCGAGCCAAUACCAGUGAAUCCAAAAACCUUCAUAUAGCAUAUAUUGAGCAGAAAUACCAGAGUUCAAGCCAUUUUUGGUUUUGAAAUAACCUAGAGAAUUGAACUAAAGUUAUUUCAUAUCUAACUAAAACUACCGGAGAAUACUGUUUUUGGGGAAGAAUUUCCAGGGAUCGAAAAACAGACCCAAAAUCAAGCUAUGAGAAAGAAUUUUGAAAGCUAUCUUGACAGUGGACUGAGACUCAAUGAAAUAGUGAAAUUUUAUGGUUUUUCUAUUUUUGUAUAUAUACGUUUUUUGUAUUUUUUGGGUAUUUGAAUGCAGAAAUUAAUCUGAAGCUAAAUGAAAAGGAAAAUUAGAUUUCUUGAGGAAUUUUCUAGCUGAAAAAGUUGAAGACCCCUUUCAAUAGGCAAUUGAGGCCUUUAAAUAGGCCAAGAAGAAAGAAAAGUUCAGCCAAAAGGUUUGCAUAUCAGUCCCUAUUCCCUUUUUUAUUUAAGACCUAUAAUACUAACUUGCUAUCCAAGCAAGUACUACCAAAAGUUGAAAGCUAUAGUUUCACCCCCAAUCUAGAAGGAUAUAGGGUGCUCUUCUAACCCCAAAAAUAACAUACUACCCUUAAUCCUACAUUGCAAUUACUAUUUCUCAAGAUACUACCCUUUUCCAUGCCAAAAUUACCCUUGCAACAAUCUGAAAACUACAAUCUGAAUUAACUGAACCCAAUCCAUCACCCUAGCUAAAUUUGAACUAAAGUUGUCUAUCAGUACACUAACCAACAAUAUCAAUUAACACUAGAAUACAAUACUACUGAAAUCAGUCCCAACCCACUUCCCAAAUCCAAAUUUCAAAACCAGCCUAAUUAACUAACGACCCCAAACUAAUCAGUCUAUAAUAGUAAUUAUAAAAGAGAAUCGACUAAGCUAACAAUCCAUAUAGAGUCAAUAAUCAGAAAAGAAGAAAUUGAACAGUUCAGGUAGGCAUUCAACAUGCAUAUUAUAACACUACUUAUUCGACUAAUAUUAUCUAUGAACGACAUUAAAAUGCGAUCGAUAAACAACUAAUCCUACUAACUGAUUAAUGCUAACAGAAAUUUAGAGAUAUUAAACUUACUGCUAAAAAUGGACUAAACUAAUAACUAAUGAUUAAAACAAAAUCAACUAGUCGUAACAUGUCUAAACUCAGGCAUGACAUCAGAAUGACUACAAGAACUCUACGAUUGACCAAAUCAACAGUGGAGGAGAAGAAGAAGAAAUUAUGAAACUGUGAAAAAUGAGUCAUAAAACUACAAGAAAACUUACCCUAAAAGAAACAUUCCCAAAUGAGGCUACACUGAUGAACCCUAGAUGGACCUGAGGGCGAACCGUUGAAAUUUGAAGAAGCAUAGCCAUGGAUUUGAGGUGAGGACGAGGGAUAGACUCUCUGGUAGCAACUUGGACUUGUUUGGAUGAUUUUGUAUUAUGAGCCUGAUUUUUAAACCAAGAUUCGAGGGAUCUGGUUUGAUUAGAGGGAAAAUGUUAGCAUAUAUGGAAAAGGGAGGUUCAGGAGAGUGAGGGGUGUAAUUUUGAGAAGGUUUGGAGCUGGCGCCGCCACCCUAGGGCGGUGGGGUUUGGUGGCAGCGGGAUGAGGGUUCUUGAAGGGAGGGGUCUGUGAGUAAGAUGGGAAUGGGGUGNNN
rnacentral:lncRNA from 1 species